rnacentral:rRNA from 1 species
GAUGAACGCUGGCGGCGUGCUUAACACAUGCAAGUCGAACGGGAAUUAUUUUAUUGAAACUUCGGUCGAUUUAAUUUAAUUCUAGUGGCGGACGGGUGAGUAACGCGUGGGUAACCUGCCUUAUACAGGGGGAUAACAGUCAGAAAUGGCUGCUAAUACCGCAUAAGCGCACAGAGCUGCAUGGCUCAGUGUGAAAAACUCCGGUGGUAUAAGAUGGACCCGCGUUGGAUUAGCUGGUUGGUGGGGUAACGGCCCACCAAGGCGACGAUCCAUAGCCGGCCUGGGAGGGUGAACGGCCACAGUGGGACUGAGACACGGCCCAGACUCCUACGGGAGGCAGCAGUGGGGAAUAUUGCACAAUGGGGGAAACCCUGAUGCAGCGACGCCGCGUGAAGGAAGAAGUAUCUCGGUAUGUAAACUUCUAUCAGCAGGGAAGAUAGUGACGGUACCUGACUAAGAAGCCCCGGCUAACUACGUG